ACAGUGGCGGGGUGCUAUACAUGCAGUCGAGCGGACCGACGGGAGCUUGCUCCCUUAGGUCAGCGGCGGACGGGUGAGUAACACGUGGGUAACCUGCCUGUAAGACUGGGAUAACUCCGGGAAACCGGGGCUAAUACCGGAUGCUUGAUUGAACCGCAUGGUUCAAUCAUAAAAGGUGGCUUUUAGCUACCACUUGCAGAUGGACCCGCGGCGCAUUAGCUAGUUGGUGAGGUAACGGCUCACCAAGGCGACGAUGCGUAGCCGACCUGAGAGGGUGAUCGGCCACACUGGGACUGAGACACGGCCCAGACUCCUACGGGAGGCAGCAGUAGGGAAUCUUCCGCAAUGGACGAAAGUCUGACGGAGCAACGCCGCGUGAGUGAUGAAGGUUUUCGGAUCGUAAAACUCUGUUGUUAGGGAAGAACAAGUACCGUUCGAAUAGGGCGGCACCUUGACGGUACCUAACCAGAAAGCCACGGCUAACUACGUGCCAGCAGCCGCGGUAAUACGUAGGUGGCAAGCGUUGUCCGGAAUUAUUGGGCGUAAAGCGCGCGCAGGCGGUUUCUUAAGUCUGAUGUGAAAGCCCCCGGCUCAACCGGGGAGGGUCAUUGGAAACUGGGGAACUUGAGUGCAGAAGAGGAGAGUGGAAUUCCACGUGUAGCGGUGAAAUGCGUAGAGAUGUGGAGGAACACCAGUGGCGA
rnacentral:rRNA from 1 species